AGAGGGUGAGAAGUGGGCUUUGGGGACUGUAGUGAGUGAGGGGAGCCUUAGGAGUGACAGGACACAGGAGGCAUGAAAUCUUUAAAACACAGGUGCUGCAGCAGGUGUACCUUUGGGGCGGUCACUCCAGCACAGCUUAGGAAACUGAAGGGCAGCCUCAGCCUAGGAGGACAAGGGAAGUUCCAAGAGACAGGCUGUAGCAGGACUGGGUGCUUAGGCCAGAGCAGAGGAAGAAGAGGAUGGGGUGCCUGAAUGCACAAGUAGCUGAGUAGGUGCUGGGCAGCCCAGAAGCCUGGGUAGUUCAGGUUGGGGGCAGUGCCACGAUCUGGCUUGCAGCCAACCUUCUAGCCUCAGGUGGCCACCAACACAGCUGUGCUUGCCCUAGACACUAGAUGGAACUCCAAAAGAGGAAAGCUCUAUGACGUAGAGACAAAGUGGACAAUGCUGAGCUGCCUCUUCUCCCAGGCUGUUCAUGUAGCUAACAGGGGUCCAGCUGCUCAGCUUGGAGGCUUCAUCUGCCUAGGAGCCCACCCUGUCUCCUCAGUCUCCCCAGGAGACAUGGGAAUCUCUAGCUGAUGUCCUUUCUGAGCUGCUAGGGCAGGGUGAAGACGAAGGGGGCACCAGAGGAGCUGUGGAAGGAAGGAGUCCUGACAGACAGCGCCAAGCACUCCUCUGGGAAGCGGAGUACACCUGACCACAGGAAGUGGGGGUACUGCAGACACAAGCAAGCUUGCCUGAUGCCCGGUGCAGCACAGACAUUAGACCACAUAGUCAACAAGGUCCCUAAGGAGCACCUGCCGACACCGCUAAGGCCUUCCAGCGUCUUGGUCCUUCCAGCCCUUCGUCAGCCCACCCUCAGGAAUCUGCAACGUCAGUGAGGCCACCUUCUGCUUAGUGUCAGGGAUUCCAUUUCCACACUAGUGGGACUUAUCUGUUUUUGAGAUGGGUUCACAUGUUUAGGGACACCUGAAGAGAGACUGGCUGCUUCUCUUUAUGUACAGCCCUAAGUCUUUGGUGGUCUCCCAUGUGUGGGAGUAGCUGGGUGCCUUCUGUGGGUCCCUGUGCACUCCCUGGCUAAACUGCCAGGCAACAGUCCCAUCUGCUGUAGCUUGCCCAUGCCUAGAACCUGCACUUGUGACAGGGGCUUCACUCAGUGAAAGCAGCUCCCACAGGAUUCUCAGAACUCACAACUAGAGCCUGGUGUAAGUUCUGGAAGCGGGGUUAAACUCUAGUCUCCAAGCAGGCUGGUCAUCCAUACACAUUUCUCAGAAGCUAUGGGAGCCAUGUACCUGAUACAGGUGUAUUUGGUAAAUUACACUUCAAUAAACUGGAUUCGCUGCAGUAGUGCACAAAACCCAGAAGCAGAUGAUCUGGACUGACAGUCUACAUUCUCCACAAGGCACUCAGAGAACUCUGAAUUUAAUACAUUGGGUUUCCAUAUAGUCUUGCCAAUCUUUGCUAUACAAGAAAAUAAAAUAACUCUGACUUGA